rnacentral:rRNA from 1 species
AAGCAGCCAUUCAUUUAAAGAGUGCGUAACAGUUCACUAGUCGAGGAGUUUGGCGUGGAUAAUAAUCGGGCAUAAGUGUUUUACCGAAGCUAUGGGAUACGUAAGUAUCGGUAGGGGAGCAUUCCACUCAGCGUUGAAGGCGAAGCGUGAGCUUUACUGGAGCGUGUGGAAAAGCAAAUGUAGGUAUAAGUAACGAUAAAGGGGGUGAGAAACCCCCUCGCCGCAAGACUAAGGUUUCCUGAUCAACGCUAAUCGGAUCAGGGUUAGUCGGGUCCUAAGGCUCAGCCGAACGGUGAGGCCGAUGGCAGAACAGGUUAAUAUUCCUGUACUACCUAUAAGAGUGAUGUGGAGACGGAGGAGUGACAACGCCGCGGACUGACGGAAUAGUCCGUUAAAGGGUGUAGAUGUUGAUUAUCCCAGGCAAAUCCGGGAUAAGAGUCGAACCUGACAGUAUACCAAUUUCCCCGGAAAACGGUAAUAGUGCGUGUAAACAUACUCCCAAGAAAAUCCGCUAAACUUAAUCUUAUAGGUACCCGUACCGUAAACGGACACACGUAGUCGGGUUGAAUAUACUCAGGCGCUUGAGUGAAUUCCGGUUAAG